rnacentral:misc_RNA from 1 species
AGAAAAAAAUUAAACUAUAUAAUCAGAGAUAAAAAUUACAUUUAUUCUAAUAAUAUUAAAAGAAUUUUAAAAAGAAAUAAAAAAUACAUUAAUUUUAAUAAAAAAUAAAAGAAAACCAUUAAAAAAUAUUCCAUAAACAUAGAAAAACGCGAUUUCUGGUAACUACUUGACAACGAAUAUUAGAAAAAAUUGUCAUAACAAAACAAAAAUAAAUAAAAUCUCACAAAAAUAAACAACAAAUUAAUACAUUAUAUUACUGCAUUGCGAUUUAUGAAUGAAAUUAUUAAUAAUAACAACAAACAACCAUUUAAAAUUAUAACAAAUUGUUUUACAAGCUAAAUUAUAAAAAAAAUACACUUUGGCAUUCAUUCAUGUUGUUGCUGCUUGCUGUUUCUUCCACUUAAACGCUAAAUUGUCGCUGAAAUUGUGUCUAAUUUUAUGAAAAUAGAUUUUGAAAACAAGAAAUAGAUUUUGAAAAUUUUGUAUACCUAUUUUUUAAAAAUAAUUCUAAAGCAAAAUACCAAACAAAUAAAAUUAUGCCACCGAUUAAAUAUACUGCCACUAUUGCACCCAAUACCGUCAACAUUGGUGAUAAAGUACGAAUCAAAGGAAUUUUAAUGGAUGAUGCAAAAGAAUUUUCCAUAAAUUUCGUUAAUGAACUAUGCCGGAAUCCUGCAUUUAUAACAUAUCAUUUCAAAUGGAUUUUAGAUGAAAAUGUUAUUGUUGAGAACUAUAAAGAGAAUGGCGAAUGGAUCGAUCAUAAAGAGAAAAUGUUCGAUCAACUCGAUGGUGUGUUUCAUAGUAAAAAUUCAUUUAGCUCUCAUCCCCUCUAUACUAACAAUACAAUUCUAAAUUAUUCUGUUUUAGGUACAAUAUUCGAAUUAGAAUUUGCAUUCCAAGACGGUUAUAUUGAUGUUUAUAAAAUCUAUGAGAAUACGCCAAAUCGUAUUACGACAUAUGAUACAGAAUUAAAUAUAAAUGAUAUAAAAUCCUUACAAGUUUGGGGUGAUGUUAAGAAAAUUUCCGAAAUUACCUUUAAAUAUGCGUAGAAAUUAUUAAUAAAAACACAUAUACACACAAAAAAGAACGUUUUGGAAAAUCUAACUUGGAAUGAAAAUCUCUAAAUUCAAAAUGGAUUGAAAAAAGCUAGAAGAAGAAAAAAAAAAAUUUAUACAGUAAAACCUAAAAAAGACGAAUAUCAAAUUCAUCAAAAGUAAGAUUUAAGUCAUUUGUUUUAUAAUUUUAAAUUAUAUUGUUAUUUGUUUAUAAACUAAUAAAAAGAAAGGGAAAUUAAACA